UCCAGUCGCAGGGCUGUUGCUUUUCUGUCAAUCACAUGACGAACCAUUUUAAAGGGCUCACUCUGUGUGUUCAGUUUCAUUCUUAGACUGCGGCAAUGGCUGCCCAAGAGCAAAACAGAAGAGAAGAAAAUCUGAAAGCUCAACAAGGUUUCAGAGAAAAUGCUUUUAAGAUUAUCGUGAAGAUGCAAGGCUGGUCUAGCGUGACUCCUAAAAGUAAACACUUAGUGGAUGAGAUUCUUCACAGCAUCUUGUUUUUGGGUAAAAUCAACAGCAUCCCCUUUCCCCCAAAUGAAAUCAUCUCUGAUGGUGAUAUUUUGGAAGCCUUAAUGGCAAAAUAUCCCAGGCCUUUUCAAUUCUAUCUGACUC